AUUAUAGAUGUGUACCAUUAUACCCAGUUUAUCUCAUCAUUCUUGCCACUUUCUGAAGCAGUUUGGAGGUUCUCUUUUGUGAAUGCCUUUUUUUUUUUUUUGAGAUAAAUAUGCACAUUUACUAGAAUGGAAAAUGUCUAGUACCUGCUGCCCUGGGAACUACUGUGAAUGUGCGUGUUGGGCCCGGAUCCUUUACUGCCUGAGUCAGCGGCUGUGAGCGCUCUAAAUUUAAGGAUCCACAGUUAGAGAAACACGUUAGCCCGGGUGUGGAAGCCUUGGCUGCGGCUGACACGCAGGGACCACACCAAGCCACGACCCUCGUGACAACCUCCAGGCUUGACUGCCCAAAGACAGGAGGCUAAGAGGAGGAAACACCGACAGGGCUGACAUUGGUUCGGGUCUCCGGGCAACCGGGGGACACAGGGUGGUACCAGGUCCAAUUCCGCUGCCCAGGCCGAGUCCUGAGAGCUUGCUCCCCUUCGGCCAGGAUGCGGCUCCACCGUCAGCUCUGGGCCCGGCGCAGACCUUCCUACGGCUCGGGGACCCUCUUACCACUUAGCCUGCAGUAGCCCCCGGCCUUUAACUCACCACCACCCGACAAAAUGUAGAACUGGGAGAGGAAGAGCAGCAACCAGCACAGGCGGCGAAGGUCCCGCGGCGGCCCCGCUGCAGCCGCCAUCUUGCCGAUUGCCAGAUCCUACCAGAGUUAACCGAGGAUGUUCACAAGCAUAUUUGUUGGAAUCAAGAGCCUCUCCAAUCAAAAUCCAUUUCUCCAUCAGUAAUAACAUCCAUGUCUUCCUGCUCCCCUCAAGACUUCCUACAGGGUAUUAGGCUCAUCGCCCCAGCAAUCUGGAAACCUUAAAGUGUGUUUUGAGCUUCUCUGACACCUACAGUUUAUGGUAAAGAGUAACCAGACAUGAGCCCUGAUGAUGGCCCAGUAGAAGAUUCUUUCUCCAGAGCAGGCAGUCUACACUAUAUGUCACAGUUUCCUCUUCAGUGAAUUUCAGAGGUCAUCAGAGGUUGUCAUGAUGGGGGCCUCUGUGAAUAUGCACUUAGAAAUGUUGAAGAUGAUACAGAUCUCAUCAGUCACUCUGCUUAAUACCCUUACAUCCUUCACAUAGAGUCAGUUUGGGUUUCCUGUUUAAUUUUUUAAAAAAGAUUAAACCUUUUAUUUUGAGAUAAUUGUAGAUGUGUUACCAUGGGUGAUGGGGUUCUGGGACAGGUUUCUAGG
rnacentral:lncRNA from 1 species